GCAAGACACUUCUGUACUACACACUGCACUUUGAUGAAUCCAAAAUCCAACUGCUGAACACAAGUUGAGGAAGUGAAGGUCGCUAUUAUUUAUACUAUGGUACUUCAGAAUUCAUUUGAAUGGUUUAGCUUCAGAAGUAGACACCACCAAACCCAUCCUUUUCAAGAUGAUGUGAAAUGUAUAAUUAAGGGUUGAUUGAAUAUACAUGUAAUGCUCACCAAGUUGCAUGCAAAUAACGUGAAACGUUGAUUGGGGUGCUGUGUGUCCGAUCAAGAAAAAGAUUUAAAAAAUGGCGAGAAAAGUCAAACGAAAACGUGUGGAGAAUAAGUUAAGUGUGGAACUGGAAAUCGGCGUCACACUAUUUGGGUGCCUCUCCACCCUGGGUGUUCCCCCAAAGAACUCUUGCUGUUUCAUCAUCCUCCAAACAACUUUGCGAUUGCUGGAGUUUUACAUAUAUAAUUGGUUCGCUUCUUUUCCCGUCUACUUGCUGGUACGUUUGGUGACUUGCCCAUACUUUGGGAUCUCGCAGUAUAAAAGGUCUUCGACUGAUCUCCAAUCGGCAUCUUAGUACUUGAGCAAUCGUUAAACAAUCAACAGCAACAUGAGUCGUCCUAUCCUGCUGAGCCUUUGUGUCCUGUUGGCCAUUUUGACUUUGACCAGCGCUGUUCCAGCCAACCGUCGUGAACGUGAUGUUGAAAUCGACAAACUCUUUGCUGAGAUGUUUCCAUCUUCUGCCACCACCCAAGCCCCCGUCGAGAUAGGAUUGCUCCUUGGCCAAAUGGAAACCGAAUUCCAAAACCCUGGCUUCAAUGGUGACUUGGACAAGUACAACAACUUCGGCCCAGCUGGAUUUCUAAGAAUCGGACCAGUAUACUCCGGCGGCCCUUUCAAAAGAUGGUUUUAUUAGUUGCACUAAUUCAACGAUUUUGACAGUGUAACGCUAACCGUAGUUUUCCUGACAUUACAUUAACGUGGAACAACUUUGUAAGUUCCAUAAUGAGAUUUUUACGGAAUAAACAUUUUUUUUCCCCGCAUAA
rnacentral:misc_RNA from 1 species